AGCGAGCGCAGGCGGUUGCUUAGGUCUGAUGUGAAAGCCUUCGGCUUAACCGAAGAAGUGCAUCGGAAACCGGGCGACUUGAGUGCAGAAGAGGACAGUGGAACUCCAUGUGUAGCGGUGGAAUGCGUAGAUAUAUGGAAGAACACCAGUGGCGAAGGCGGCUGUCUGGUCUGCAACUGACGCUGAGGCUCGAAAGCAUGGGUAGCGAACAGGAUUAGAUACCCUGGUAGUCCAUGCCGUAAACGAUGAGUGCUAGGUGUUGGAGGGUUUCCGCCCUUCAGUGCCGGAGCUAACGCAUUAAGCACUCCGCCUGGGGAGUACGACCGCAAGGUUGAAACUCAAAGGAAUUGACGGGGGCCCGCACAAGCGGUGGAGCAUGUGGUUUAAUUCGAAGCUACGCGAAGAACCUUACCAGGUCUUGACAUCUUGCGCUAACCUUAGAGAUAAGGCGUUCCCUUCGGGGACGCAAUGACAGGUGGUGCAUGGUCGUCGUCAGCUCGUGUCGUGAGAUGUUGGGUUAAGUCCCGCAACGAGCGCAACCCUUGUUACUAGUUGCCAGCAUUAAGUUGGGCACUCUAGUGAGACUGCCGGUGACAAACCGGAGGAAGGUGGGGACGACGUCAGAUCAUCAUGCCCCUUAUGACCUGGGCUACACACGUGCUACAAUGGACGGUACAACGAGUCGCAAGCUCGCGAGAGUAAGCUAAUCUCUUAAAGCCGUUCUCAGUUCGGACUGUAGGCUGCAACUCGCCUACACGAAGUCGGAAUCGCUAGUAAUCGCGGAUCAGCAUGCCGCGGUGAAUACGUUCCCGGGCCUUGUACACACCGCCCGUCACACCAUGGGAGUUUGUAACGCCCAAAGUCGGUGGCCUAACCUUUAUGGAGGGAGCCGCCUAGGGC
rnacentral:rRNA from 1 species